UACGUAGGGGGCGAGCGUUGUCCGGAUUUAUUGGGCGUAAAGAGCUCGUAGGCGGCUUGGCAAGUCGGGUGUGAAACCUCCAGGCUCAACCUGGAGACGCCACUCGAUACUGCUAUGGCUAGAGUCCGGUAGGGGACCACGGAAUUCCUGGUGUAGCGGUGAAAUGCGCAGAUAUCAGGAGGAACACCAGUGGCGAAGGCGGUGCUCUGGGCCGGAACUGACGCUGAGGAGCGAAAGCGUGGGGAGCAAACAGG
rnacentral:rRNA from 1 species